CUAUAGGACAUGUCCUUAUAGGGACAUUUGGAUUCUGGUAACUCGAGGUUGUUUUCUGAGAAAACACACAGUUCCCUCUAGGGAGAGGAAGAGGGAAGGAAAAAGCUUCAUGUGACAGAUGCUAAUUAUGCAGCUUAAUGCACUUCUGGAAGUUGCAGAGAUGAGAACUCUAUAAGAACCUAUCUACAAAACAAAGCACAUUUUCAACAGCA